AGACUCAAUAAUAGUGUUUAAAAAUAAUAAUAAUAAAGCAUAAUGCAUCAAAGGUAGUAGCUAAUAUCACUGUUUUCCUUUUCUUCCAAAGGUUGACCAAAAAUGACCCUAAAGUCACCAGAUCUGAAUGACUGGCCAAGGUUCAAGACAUGGUUUCGUUCGCCUGUGUCUGUGAACAACUCUGCUCACCUACCAGGUCCUGGGUGCUGUGUGUGCGCGUGACUAUAUUCAUCCAACAGCAGGCUGACUUGGCUGGUGUGGCUUCUGCAUCAGUCAGGGUCCCAGCAGAAAACAGAUGGCUCACUUGCUGGGUAACUGAGGAGGGUUUAAUACAGGAAUUGUUCUCAAAGACAUAGGCUGGGUUUGAGAAAUCCUCAAGGCUCUUUUUUACAAUAGCCAAGAAGUGGAAACAACUCAAGUGUCCAUUGAUAGCUGAAUGGAUAAACAAAAUGUGGUAUAGACAUAUCCUGGAAUAUUAUUCAGCUUUAAAAAGGAAGGAAAUUCUGACCCAGCCUGCAACAUGGAUGAAUCUUGAGGACAUCAUGGUAUGUGAAAUAAACCUGACUCAAAAGGAUAAAUAUUGUUUGAU
rnacentral:lncRNA from 12 species